GUUUGAUCCUGGCUCAGGACGAACGCUGGCGGCGUGGAUUAGGCAUGCAAGUCGCGCGACAGACCCUCGGGUUAUGGAGCGGCGAACGGGUGAGUAACACGUGAACAAUCUACCCUCUCAUUCCGGAUAAUUGGCUGAAAAGCCUUGUAAUACGGGGGAGGUUCCAACUUGGGCAUCCUUGAUGGAACGAACAGGUAACUGGUGCGAGGAGGAGUUCGCGGAUUAUCAGCUAGUUGGUGGGGUAACGGCCUACCAAGCCUACGACGAGUAGCUGGUCUGAGAGGAUGGUCAGCCACAUUGGAACUGAGACACUGUCCAGACUCCUACGGGAGGCUGCAGUCGAGAAUCUUGGGCAAUGCACGAAAGUGUGACCCAGCGACGCCGCGUGAAGGAUGAAGGCCCUUCGGGUCGUAAACUUCUUUUACGGGAGAAGAAUAAUGACGGUAUCCCGUGAAUAAGCCACGGCUAACUACGUGCCAGCAGCCGCGGUAAUACGUAGGUGGCAAGCGUUGUCCGGAUUUAUUGGGUUUAAAGGGUGCGUAGGCGGCCUGUUAAGUCAGGGGUGAAAGACGGUAGCUUAACUAUCGCAGUGCCUUUGAUACUGAAGAGCUUGAAUACACUAGAGGUAGGCGGAAUGUGACAAGUAGCGGUGAAAUGCAUAGAUAUGUCACAGAACACCAAUUGCGAAGGCAGCUUACUAAAGUAUGAUUGACGCUGAGGCACGAAAGCGUGGGGAUCAAACAGGAUUAGAUACCCUGGUAGUCCACGCCCUAAACGAUGAAUACUCGAUGUUGGCGAUAUACGGUCAGCGUCUAAGCGAAAGCGUUAAGUAUUCCACCUGGGGAGUACGCCGGCAACGGUGAAACUCAAAGGAAUUGACGGGGGCCCGCACAAGCGGAGGAGCAUGUGGUUUAAUUCGAUGAUACGCGAGGAACCUUACCCGGGCUUGAAAGUUAGUGAAUAGAGCAGAGACGCUCUAGUCCUUCGGGACACGAAACUAGGUGCUGCAUGGCUGUCGUCAGCUCGUGCCGUGAGGUGUUGGGUUAAGUCCCGCAACGAGCGCAACCCCUAUGUUUAGUUGCCAGCAUGUUAUGAUGGGGACUCUAAACAGACUGCCUACGCAAGUAGAGAGGAAGGAGGGGACGACGUCAAGUCAUCAUGGCCCUUACGUCCAGGGCUACACACGUGCUACAAUGGCGUAUACAAAGUGUUGCGACCUGGUAACAGGAUGCCAAUCUCAAAAAGUACGUCUCAGUUCGGAUUGCAGGCUGCAACUCGCCUGCAUGAAGUUGGAAUCGCUAGUAAUCGCAAAUCAGCAAUGUUGCGGUGAAUACGUUCCCGGACCUUGUACACACCGCCC
rnacentral:rRNA from 1 species